UUUAAAUUUAGUUUUUCUCUGUGUAAAUCGAUGUCAUAAAAUAUCAUAUUUUGAUUAAAAUGGACAGCAAAUCAACUUUGGCGUAACAUGUGCCAUGCAGGGGCUUGCUAGAUGGGAUAAAUAUCACAGUUGAUUGCUACUGUGGCCAAUGCAUCCAAGAUGGCUAACAGAGCAAUAGUCCUCUUUCUUUGUUUCAUGCUCUCUACAGAGAACCUGUGCCUAGGAUUUGGUCAUAUGACGUCCUCCGAAUGUACUCACAAAGAAGUAUCUAUUAGUCGAAAGAACAACUGGUCGGUCUACACCCAAUGCGCAGAUCAGAAUUUCUUCAAAAACAACCACAGUUGCUGGCUCUACUGUAGGAGGGCAUGUCAACGCCGGAAAGAUCGAGCUAACAAAUGUGCCCCACACUUUACUGAGUUUUCUUAAGUACACAACGUAGAACAGCAAACAAGUGAACGCACUUGCGUAUACAGAAAACAACUUUGUUGAUAAUUAUAAUUAAAGGCUGGAUAUGCAAACAAGAAAACAUAAGAAUAAUCAGUGCAUCAUGUUAAACUGUUGAAAAUAAAAGCAAUCCAAGAAA